GAUGUUUUGAACGGAGAAUGAUGCUGAGAAGAUGCACCAUCAGCAUCUUGGACCUAAGCAUCCCAGAGGCUCCACAGUAGAGAGAUCUGUGCCAGCUCUGCAUGAACCUGUCCCAUACUUAACAGUAGGAGCAGCCAUUCCCAUUGCUCUGGGUAACACAUGUUCCCUCUCAUGCUGCUGGUAGCACUGAGGUUGCCUGGAACUGGGGAACAAUUAACAAAACACAGAAAUUGGAUGUUUAGCUGACUGACAACAGCAAGUUGUGAUAUACUGCACUUUUCAAGUGUUUAUUCCCCUGGCCUUGUCUACAAGCCAUGAAGGUACUGAUCUGAACGCAUUUCUCCCUUUGCUUGCCUGAGGCUCCCAUUCCUCCUUCAAUGUACUUUUUCAAAUUUCUUUUGAGAAACAAUACUUUCAAAUAAGCUAAUAGAGAAUAUAUAAUGAAAUAUGAGAAGAAUUCUGUGGAACCCAAUGUUUCGUUGUGUUCCCAGUUCACCUCCUUGCCUCAGGUUCCCUUUGUUCCCCCCUCCAUCCACCCACCAGCCUUCCCGUUUGUUCUUUUUCCUUUUGACUGCCCACUUUCACAUUCGUUUUGGCUUUCCUUCAGUCUUUUAAUGCUGCAUCUAUUCCUUGAAUUUACUAUAGUUUGACAUUCUGUUUCAUGAGUCACCACUGGGGACAGAGUUUGAAGGAGAUCAGAUUGCACAAAAGUAGUUCUUACGACUGCCAAAAACUAAUUUGAAUUCGUGCUCUUUAUUCCCUGAAUAAACUUUGUGGAUUCUUUUCUCUAUGCAUUUGCCUCAGAAGAUGAUGCAGUAAAUACUUGUAUUUAUUGCAUGUAAACGUCAGAGAUAGGGAGACCCUGAUUUCCUUUGCUUCUACCUUUGUGUAGAUCCUCAGCUUGCAAACCACACUGAAUUCGAGGCACUUCUCCAGCCCUCCCUUCUGCCUUCUUUGAGUUUGUUUGCUCUAAAACAGCAGGAAUGAUGCCAGUGCUCACCAAACAACACUUAAAUUCUCCAUACUACUCAGCUUUGCUGUGGUGUUUAAUCACCCUCAGAAGUUGUUCCUAGGUGUGCAUGUGUGACUAAAAUCAUAAGUCUUUAAAUAACUCCAUGCCAUUGUGGUGCAAGAUGAUGAGGU